UACGUAGGGGGCUAGCGUUGUCCGGAUUUAUUGGGCGUAAAGAGCGUGUAGGCGGCCAGGUAGGUCUGCUGUGAAAACUCGAGGCUCAACCUCGAGACGCCGAUGGAAACCAUGUGGCUAGAGUCCGGAAGAGGAGAGUGGAAUUCCUGGUGUAGCGGUGAAAUGCGCAGAUAUCAGGAAGAACACCCGUGGCUAAGGCGGCUCUCUAGUACGGUACUGACGCUGAGACGCGGAAGCGUGGGGAGCGAACAGG
rnacentral:rRNA from 1 species